rnacentral:SRP_RNA from 1 species
UCGUGCUAGCUGGGGGGAGUAGCGGCCCCCUGUCCCGAAUUCCGCUUUAGCGGGGGCGAUGCCUACCGGAGGGAGCCUCGCGUUGCCCGUCGUUGGAACCUUGCGACGAAGAAGCCUGGAUCCCCUGCAAGUUGGGGCCGUGAACCUGGUCAGGUGCGAGAGCAAGCAGCCAUAAGCGUAACCUCGGCUGUGCAGGGGGCAAUCUGGGUGGAGCCGCUUGGCCGAAGGCGGAAUCCUCGCGAGAACUAUCGAUGGUAGGUGCACGG